rnacentral:rRNA from 1 species
GAUGAACGCUAGCGGCAGGCCUAAUACAUGCAAGUCGAACGGUGUCUUCGGACAUAGUGGCGCACGGGUGCGUAACACGUAUGCAACCUACCUUACAUUGGGGGAUAGCCUUUCGAAAGGGAGAUUAAUACCGCAUAAGACAGUAGCUGGGCAUCCAGCAGCUGUUAAAGAUUUAUCGAUGUAAGCUGGGCAUGCGUCCAAUUAGCUAGUUGGUGAGGUAACGGCUCACCAAGGCAAUGAUUGGUAGGGGAACUGAGAGGUCAAUCCCCCACACUGGCACUGAGAGACGGGCCAGACUCCUAUGGGAGGCAGCAGUAGGGAAUAUUGGGCAAUGGACGCAAGUCCGACCCAGCCAUGCCGCGUGCAGGAUGAAGGCGUUAUGCGUUGUAAACUGCUUUUAUACAGGAAGAAACGACUCUUGCGAGAGGCAUUGACGGUACUGUAUGAAUAAGGACCGGCUAACUACGUGCCAGCCGCCGCGGUAACAC